GACGAACCGUGCGAACGUUAUUCGGAAUCACUGGGCUUAAAGGGCGCGUAGGCGGGCUCGUUAGUCAGGGGUGAAAUCCCACGGCCCAACCGUGGAAGUGCCUUUGAUACUGCGAGCCUCGAGGGGGGUAGGGGCGUGCGGAACUCAGGGUGGAGCGGUGAAAUGCGUAGAUAUCCUGAGGAACACCGGUGGCGAAAGCGGCGCGCUGGACCCCUUCUGACGCUGAGGCGCGAAAGCCAGGGGAGCAAACGGG
rnacentral:rRNA from 1 species